rnacentral:lncRNA from 1 species
ACAGUGACUUAUGUGCUUUAACAAAUAUCAGCUGUUUGUUUGGGGUGUAAUGAACAAACUAGAGCCAGAGUGACAACUGCUUCAACUAAUUAUGAAGACAGCUUGCAAACUAUAGCCCCACUUGUUUCAGGCUCCAAAUGAUGACAGUCAGACUGCUGUUCCCGCCAGCUUGAUUUCAGAGCGCUUUUAUUUUCAUAUUCCAAAGGUUUCUGUGCCUCUAAGCAGACAGUAACAAAGGCCUGUGAAUUCAGUUACAGAACACCAAAAGUUUAAGGCGGCAGAUUUUAUUCCUGGCUUUCAAAGAAGACUGGUCACAUCUGAUUCAUCUGAAUAAGUUGGCAAGGACUCUGAUAUGUAAAUAAACUCAAGCAGAUGGAUGAACUGUGUUACAUGUGUAGUCAACCUGCUGGUCUGAGAGACAAAGACAUGAAUAUCCAAGGAAAGUUACAGGCAAAUUACAGGAAACUCCCAGGGACAAAAUCAAAGCAAUAG